rfam:Pan troglodytes isolate Yerkes chimp pedigree #C0471 (Clint) chromosome 17, whole genome shotgun sequence.
GCCGGGCGUGGUGGCGGGCGCCUGUAAUCCCAGCUACCCGGGAGGCUGAGGCAGGAGAAUCGCUGGAACCCGGGAGGCGGGGUUGCAGUGAGCAGAGAUUGCACCACUGCACUCCAGCCUGGGCGACAGAGCGAGACUCCGUCUCAA